UUGCGUUAGGGAUUGAAGCGGCAUCCUUUUUUGCAUUAGCCAUUUAGCAGGUUGCAAAAAAGAUACAGCAUAAAGCCCGCCCGAAC
rnacentral:sRNA from 1 species